AAAAUUUUAUAUUUUUGAUUUUUUCUCUAAAUCAAUGUGUUAACUAGAUCCCUUAAUGCAUGGUUCUAGAGUAAUUAACUAGAUCCUGAACUUAGGACAUAGGAAACUGCGAGAGUAGAUUCUUUACCUGAUAAUAUUCUGAUUAAGUUAAGUUUGUUAGAAACAUGCGAGAGCUGAUCGACCAUUCUUAAUGGUAAUCAACUCACCACAACCAUCGAUCGACAUCGUCAGUCGAGCGUCGAUCGACAUCGACACUGGAUCGUCGAUCGAUAGUGUUAUAAAGUGAGCGGUUGAGUCCUAGCGUAUCAGCUCGCCUAAACAUCCUAUCUUGUGGAUUCGAUCCCUAAGUACUACGAUUGAACAUGUUAUUUGAGAGAGUAAAAUCAUUCCUUAAGGAUAAUUUGAGUAAUAUCAAUAAGAUAACUAAGAUGGAAUGGUUAAUAAAUCUUGAGACGAUCGAGAUUGUAUCAUAUUAAAGAGAUUAACACGUUCAAAACUUGUGUUAUUAUCAAUAUAUUUACACAAUAAGGUUCCAAAUGGGGAUGAUUGUGAAUAAAUAUUAAUUUUUUGAAAAUAUGUAACUCUAAAUUAUUACAUUAAAGAUUGCAAGAUUUUUUUUUAGUUAUAUAAUUUUUAAUAUCAAUUACUAUAUGUUUGGUAUCUUACUUUUGUUUUAUAAUAAAUAAUUAUCUAUUAUUUUAUUUUGAAAAACUUGGUGUGAACAUAUUUACAUUUCAUAUGUUAUUGUGAAAUUUGUCUUGUCUGUGUUUGCUAUUAUAAGAGAAAAUCAUAAUAUAUAUUUUUAUGAAAGAUUGGAAUAACCAUAAGAAUAUAUUAUAAUAAAUAUAUUGGACAUUAUUUUCUUGAUAUAUUACAAAAGUAAUAAUUAAUUAAAAAUUAAAUUUAUAAAAUAAAUAAACCUCUGACAAAAAACUGAUAACUAAAGUUCAUAACUAGUUGUUAUCUAGCCAUGAAGGAAUUUAAUGUAAACACACAAAUUUACAAAACAAUUAAUAUAAAUAACUGAAUAAAGUAAAUAUAUUUAGCUGAAUUAUAUAUAGACUAAGAUUAUUCAAAACAUUUAGUCCAUAAUAACAAUUUUAAUUUAUAUCUAUUACAUUUUGAAAAAUCUGUUUCAAUAUACAAAUUAUAUCUUGACAAGGCAAUCUGAAAGAAAAUAAAACUUUCACACUAAUAUUCAUAUGCUUAGGUAAAUGAAUCAUGCACUUUUAUAUUAUUUUGACUAUAAUCUCAGAAAAUCAUUGAAAGAUUUUCUUUACAAAAAUAUAACUAAUGCAAGUUUAUGUUUAUAUGUAGAUUGAUAUGCUUAGGUAAAUGAAUCAUGCACUUUUAUAUUAUUUUAACUAUAAUCUCAGAAAAUUAAUUGAAAAAAUUUCUUUACAAAAAUAUAACUAAUGCAAGUUUAUGUUUAUAUGCUUAGGUAAAUGAAUCAUGCAAUUUUAUAUUGUUUUGACUAUAAUCUCAGAAAAUUAAUUAAAAGGUUUUCUUUACAAAAACAUAAUUAAUGCAAGUUUAUGUUUAUAUGCUUUGGUAAAUAAAUCAUGCACUUUUAUAUUAUUUUGACUAUAAUCUCAGAAAAUUAAUUGAAAGAUUUUCUUUACAAAAAAUAAUUAAUGCAAGUUUAUGUUUAUAUGCUUAGGUAAAUGAAUCAGGCACUUUUAUAUUAUUUUGACUAUAAUCUCAGAAAAUUAAUUGAAAGAUUUUCUUUAGAAAAAUAUAAUUAACACAAGUUUAUGUUUUUAUGUAGAUUGAUAUGCUUAGGUAAAUGAAUCAUGCAAUUUUAUAUUAUUUUGACUCUAAUCUCAGAAAAUUAAUUGAAAGAUUUUCUUACAAAAAUAUAAAUAAUGCAAGUUUAUGUUUAUAUGCUUAGGUAAAUGAAUCAUGCACUUUUAUAUUAUUUUGACUAUAAUCUCAUAAAAUUAAUUGAAAGAUUUCCUUACAAAAAUAUAAUUAAUGCAAGUUUAUGUUUAUAUGCUUAGGUAAAUAACUCAUGCACUUUUAUAUUAUUUUGACUAUAAUCUCAAAAAAUUAAUUGAAAGAUUUUCUUUACAAAAAUAUAAUUAAUGCAAGUUUAUGUUUAUAUGUAUAUAUAUAUCAAUCUAAAAUAUAAUAGAACUUUCAAACAAUUUAUAAAACAUCCUACAAAAUGAGUCUCUCCAAAAAAUAUAUAUUAAUCGCAUUUGUUUUCACUCUUUUCUUCGCGAUGUCAAUUGUUCGCUGCACCGAUAUUGUUUCAGAUUUCGGAGUAAAGUAUAAUGUGUGCUAUGGUCCAUGUGAUGACAAAGGAGUGUGUGAGCCGUUUUGUUCUGCCAAAAAAGGUCUGAAAAGGGGAGACUGUGUUGGCAAAGGAAAAGAUUAUCUUGGCGUUUGUUGUUGUGAUGAACACUAAAUAAAAUAUUAAAUAAUAUUGUUAGAUAUUAUAUCUUGUACGAAAAGAAAUAAUAUUACCAAUAAUACAUAAAAUGCUUUUACAAAAAAAAAUAUAAAAUGUUAUCAAAUUGAAGUUACUUUGAUUAACCUCGAGAAAACAUUAGUCAAAGUGCAUGUCUUUUCUAAAAAAAACAUUGAUAUAUAAAAGUAUAGUAAAUAUUAAUAAUGUAAAUAUGUAAUCCCACAUGACAUAGAACUGUAAAAUAUGGAAGGGAAAACACGUGAAGAACAAUUAACGUUACAUAUAUAUGUCAUGCAAAAAUAAAUAAAGUGAAAGGAAACUAAUAAAAAAAUGGUAAAUGUAACUAAGUGAAAAAUAAAAAUAUUCAUUUUUUCCUUUGUACAUAUAUUCAUUUUUAAAAAAGGAAACUAAUAUAAGUGAAUGUAAAUGUAAUUAAGUAAAAAAUAAAAAUAAUUAUUUAAAAAUAAAAUAUUAAUUUUUUUCCUUUGUACAUAUAUAUUCCUUUUUUUUCUGUUACCAAAAUAAAUAUUCAUUUUUUCUCAACAUAUAAAUAAAUCCUAUGAACGGAAAUGUCUCAUAAACCCUACAUAGUAGAAGCUCUGCAAAUGCAUUCAGUCCAUGUUGUCAUUCAGCUUUUAUUGGGCCGAAUUUCUGUCACCAUUCUGAUAUACUCUAUUCUUCACUUUGAUAUUUUUUUUUUUGAAACUAUUCAUUUUGAUAUCUUUUGAGUCGACAUAAUGAAUCAUGAGAAUAAACCUCUCUAACACGAGAUUCCACUUCGACAAUACAUAUCCCCACAACCUUAAGCAGAAGAACAACAUAGUACAUAUGUUAAAUUCACAUUUGGGUAAAAAAAUUGAUAGGUUUCGCCGAUGGAUCAUGUCUUCAUCGUCAAUCUAGCUGUUGCGACUAGGCAUUUACUUGGAUGAAUUUAUGUGAUAAAUCAUGCUCCAGGUAGUUAAAAACUUUUUAUUCUUAGUUCAGGUAUUAAAAUUCAAAUUUGUUAUGAGUUCAGGUAUCGAAUUGCAUCAUUUGUUUCGUUCAAACUAAAAUGAUUCAGUUACGAACUGUUUCAUGUCACCAUUUUACGGACAUGAUGACGGUUGUAUGUAUUUAAAUGUCUUUUAUUCUAGAGUAUUUGCACUCCAUACAUAAGACUUAUACGAUAAUUAGGCUAAUACACUAUUUAUGUUUUCGAUGCAGUUAGGAGAGAAUUAGUUUACUACUUUACCCUUAUUCAUGUAUGAUCAUCAGUGACCGGCAAACUGUAAUAGAUAUAACAUAUUUUUUUUUUUAUAUCCUGAUAAUCCAAGUUAACACAAAAUCUCCUUGUGUAACGCAAGUGGGCAUAUUCUUGUUUUUAGAAACUUUUCCAUUAGUUCUUUAAUCACAGAUCUCAAAAUUCUCUCAAGACAUCCUUCUUAUAUACAGCAAUGUCGACCUUGAUCAAAAAAAAAAAACAGUAAUGUCGACUCUCUUUCGCCAUGGUACUUCUCCAGUAAACCACAGUGGUUAGCUCGCGAUUUUGCUCCAAACCACCGCAAGAUUCUCGUCUUCUCCGUGACAUUACAACGUCCUCCGCAGCGACUGGCUCUCUUCACCGUCGAAGCCAUCUCCAAUUCUCGAGCUAUCCUCCUUCGCGAAUCAGUUAUGGCAAGAUCAAUCCCGAGCUCCAAUUGCUGUUGCACUGUAACGGACUUGCCCUUUUCCGCGUUGAAGCCAAGCUCAGAUCUCUUCUUAUGGUGAUUUCACAGAUUAUUGCAAUACAGGUCCUCUGGGCUUCUGGUUAUUUUCAUAUUAACCCACGUCUUUGUAAAUUGCAGACACGUCCUCAGUUUAGUCCUUUAACUUCUGAUUGUGACAAUUUAACCCAGCCGAAAGUUCUGAAUUUGCAGCACUGGUGCCUGCAUUCUUGAAAUCUUUUGUUUAUGCCCCAAAUAAUCUUGAUUCCAUCAGAAUCCUACUCUUUUUAUUGCUACAUAUCCUAACUCAUAUAACUGUGGGUUAGCAAACAUACUAUUUUAGCCAAAUUUAUUGUUUUUUGUUUGUUGA